rnacentral:rRNA from 1 species
AUUGAACGCUGGUGGCAGGCCUAACACAUGCAAGUCGAGCGGAUGAAGGGAGCUUGCUCCUGGAUUCAGCGGCGGACGGGUGAGUAAUGCCUAGGAAUCUGCCUGGUAGUGGGGGAUAACGUCCGGAAACGGGCGCUAAUACCGCAUACGUCCUGAGGGAGAAAGUGGGGGAUCUUCGGACCUCACGCUAUCAGAUGAGCCUAGGUCGGAUUAGCUAGUUGGUGGGGUAAAGGCCUACCAAGGUGACGAUCCGUAACUGGUCUGAGAGGAUGAUCAGUCACACUGGAACUGAGACACGGUCCAGACUCCUACGGGAGGCAGCAGUGGGGAAUAUUGGACAAUGGGCGAAAGCCUGAUCCAGCCAUGCCGCGUGUGUGAAGAAGGUCUUCGGAUUGUAAAGCACUUUAAGUUGGGAGGAAGGGCAGUAAGUUAAUACCUUGCUGUUUUGACGUUACCAACAGAAUAAGCACCGGCUAACUUCGUG